rnacentral:rRNA from 1 species
UACGUAGGGUGCGAGCGUUGUCCGGAAUUAUUGGGCGUAAAGGGCUCGUAGGCGGUUUGUCGCGUCGGGAGUGAAAACCCAGGGCUUAACUCUGGGCUUGCUUUCGAUACGGGCAGACUAGAGGUAUGCAGGGGAGAACGGAAUUCCUGGUGUAGCGGUGAAAUGCGCAGAUAUCAGGAGGAACACCGGUGGCGAAGGCGGUUCUCUGGGCAGUUACCUGACGCUGAGGACGAAACGUGUGGGGAGCGAAGCAGGA